rnacentral:misc_RNA from 1 species
AAGUCGUAACAAGGUAUCCGUAGGUGAACCUGCGGAUGGAUCAUUAUCAACGUAUCCACGUAUAAACCAAUUUUGUGAACUGUUUUUUCGCCUUUGUGUAAAAAGCUGAGUGUUUGACUUGAAAAAGCUAUCAGAGUGUUUCUUUAUUGAAAUGAUUUUGUUAGAGCUCUGUUUUUCAGGUCAACUGUUCCGUAAGGAAGAGUCACUCGUUUCACACAAAGUGUAUUAUCUUCUAAACAAAUCAUCUUCAAAUUAACCAAUUGAACCAAUAACUUUUAGUUAUUCUUUGUGUGAACUGAAUUGUUUCUUACUUGUUCUUUAAACGGAAUGAGAAGAAAUCUAUUUACGAAACAUUAGAACAACUCUUAGCAACGGAUAUCUUGGUUCUC